UCCCUGGUGGCUUAGAGGGUAAAGCGUCCGCCUGCAAUGUGGGAGGAUCCAGGUUCAAUCCCUGAGUCGGGAA
rfam:TPA: Bos taurus chromosome 21, whole genome shotgun sequence.